AGCGAACGCUGGCGGCAUGCUUAACACAUGCAAGUCGCACGGUUCGGGGGCAACUCCGGGCAGUGGCGGACGGGUGAGUAACGCGUAGGAAUCUGUCUUUGGGUGGGGGACAACCGUGGGAAACUACGGCUAAUACCGCAUGAUGCCUGAGGGCCAAAGUUACCAGGGAGACCUGGUGGCGCCUGGAGAGGAGCCUGCGUCUGAUUAGGUAGUUGGUGGGGUAAAGGCCUACCAAGCCUACGAUCAGUAGCUGGUCUGAGAGGAUGAUCAGCCACAU
rnacentral:rRNA from 1 species